rnacentral:RNase_P_RNA from 1 species
GGUGAGGAAAGUCCGGGCUUCAUAGGGCAGGAUGCCGGAUAACGUCCGGUGGAGGUAACUCCCAGGCUAGUGCAACAGAAAUAUACCGCUAAUUAUUAUAAGGCAAUACCAGACAAAGCUCCGCGGGUCCAUCAUAAGGAAUCCCCCCUGCUUCGCCGGGUCCCUCCUUAUGAUAUUAGUAAGGGUGGAAAGGCGAGGUAAGAGCUCACCGCUGUGCUGGUAACAGUGCAGGCUCUGUAAACCCCAUCCGAAGCAAGACCAAACAUAAGACAAUGCAGUUGCCCGCUGGGUCUUUAGGUAGGUCGCUUGAGCAUCAUGGUAACAUGAUGCCUAGAUAGAUAAUCACUCUCGACAUAACCCGGCUUACAGUCCGACUUGCAUC